GGCGAACGGGUGAGUAACACGUAGGGAACCUGCCCGCGCACCGGGAAUACGCUCUGGAAACGGAGAACAAAUCCCGAUGUACAGGAAGGAGGCAUCUUCUUCCUGUGAAACAUCCUCUAGGGGAUGGGGCGCGGAUGGACCUGCGGUGCAUUAGUUUGUUGGCGGGGUAACGGCCCACCGAGGCGACGAUGCGUAGGGGUUCUGAGAGGAAGGUCCCCCACACUGGUACUGAGACACGGACCAGACUCCUACGGGAGGCAGCAGUGAGGAAUAUUGGUCAAUGGGCGCGAGCCUGAACCAGCCAAGUCGCGUGAGGGAUGACGGUCCUACGGAUUGUAAACCUCUUUUGCCGGGGAGCAAGCGUGCGUUCGUGAACGCGCGUCGAGAGUACCCGGAGAAAAAGCAUCGGCUAACUCCGUGCCAGCAGCCGCGGUAAUACGGAGGAUGCGAGCGUUAUCCGGAUUUAUUGGGUUUAAAGGGUGCGUAGGCGGGAUGCCAAGUCAGCGGUAAAAAAGCGGUGCUCAACGCCGUCGAGCCGUUGAAACUGGCGUUCUUGAGUGGGCGAGAAGUAUGCGGAAUGCGUGGUGUAGCGGUGAAAUGCAUAGAUAUCACGCAGAACUCCGAUUGCGAAGGCAGCAUACCGGCGCCCUACUGACGCUGAGGCACGAAAGCGUGGGUAUCGAACAGGAUUAGAUACCCUGGUAGUCCACGCAGUAAACGAUGAAUGCUAACUGUCCGGUGCGAGUGAGCGCUGGGCGGUACAGCGAAAGCGUUAAGCAUUCCACCUGGGGAGUACGCCGGCAACGGUGAAACUCAAAGGAAUUGACGGGGGCCCGCACAAGCGGAGGAACAUGUGGUUUAAUUCGAUGAUACGCGAGGAACCUUACCCGGGCUCAAACGCAGGCUGACGGGUCCCGAAAGGGGCCUUUCUUCGGACAUUCUGCGAGGUGCUGCAUGGUUGUCGUCAGCUCGUGCCGUGAGGUGUCGGCUAAGUGCCAUAACGAGCGCAACCCCUGCCCACAGUUGCCAGCAGGUAAAGCUGGGGACUCUGUGGAGACUGCCGGCGCAAGCUGCGAGGAAGGCGGGGAUGACGUCAAAUCAGCACGGCCCUUACGUCCGGGGCGACACACGUGUUACAAUGGCAGGUACAGCGGGAUGCCACGGGGCGACCCGGCGCUGAACCCGAAAACCUGUCUCAGUUCGGAUUGGAGUCUGCAACCCGACUCCAUGAAGCUGGAUUCGCUAGUAAUCGCGCAUCAGCCACGGCGCGGUGAAUACGUUCCCGGGCCUUGUACACACCGCCCGUCAAG
rnacentral:rRNA from 1 species